AGAAUAUUUCCCGGAGCUCCGGCUCGGGAUUGGUGCGACUGUUGUGCCAUGUCCGGUGACAAAAGUCAGCCGAUGUUCCGACCUCUGACCAGUUGAAGCCGCACACCCACAGAGGCAGGAUGGCUGGCAGCUACCUUCCCUCGACUAGAGUCGCUCGACUGAGCUUGCUUCUGUUCAUUCUCCAGUGCCAGCCGAGCGACGGUCAACUGUUCGUCGUUCGCCAGGCGGUGUAUGAUCCGAACUGGUGGAGAGACAAUUCCUACGAUUACAGGACUGACAGGGGAGAGGAUAACGAUUACGCCACUCAGAGUCAGGAAGACUAUACUGACUAUACAGACACUCAGCACUCUGAGGACUACCCCACGAAGCAGGUUUCUCCGUGUCUUGGAGCCUCCCAAGGCUUUGAGCUCAGGCCCAGAGCCGCCUUUGGUUGUGCUUGCCCUCCCGGCAUGGAGCCAUGUGGCGAUGUGUGCUGCAAAACAUACAGCCCUCAGCCGAGUUCGGUCGAGCCGUGGUGGGGUCUGGGACGGUAAAGCGGGACGGCAGGACACCCCGACCAGUCGUCUACCGUGCACCGCGGCUCGUCGGCUGCAUCCAUUUGUGUGAUGUUUGAAUUAUUUACUUGAUUAUGUGCUAAUACACGUUGUGUAAACCCUCUUACGUCUAGCCGGGCGGAGGAGGGAGGUGUUUAAACACCCCAACACCAUGCCUGACUCGGCUCCUGAGCCACGUAGCGACCGACACGCGGUAACCGGCUUUCGAAAGAGCAUGAAAGAAUAAGGAAGAAAGUAUUUCGGUUAUUUUUUAGUACCUAAAUAUGCACGCCAGUAUUUCUUCCCGUGAACUUUGUCUGUGUAUAAGUCUUUCUAAUUCAGGUGCAUUGUUUGAAAAAAAAUCUGUCAGUGAGCGUUGUAGAAUUGAUGUGUAAAUGUAUGUGCCCGGGAGCGUAAUGAUGUGUAACUAAAGUUUUCCGUGCGAGCCGUGGUUUGGACGUAACCCGUCUCCAGUCUUCCCAGUACGCAAGGCUAUCCGUCAGAAUUGUGAUGUCUCUGUUCGCUGUAUUCUGUCAGUAAGGAUGCCGGUCGUCGUGGCACAUACUGAAUGCGAACUCGCUCAUGGGUGCGUAUUUUCCGUUUCCGCUUUCACCAGAUGAUCCCCAUCGGGUGUAUCCCGUUUUAGAUUCCGCAUGUAUCGAUGAGUUUAUUGACCUUCGGCCUCGCGCGGCAAUCUCAACAUAGCCCUCGGUCCCGAAUGAAAGAAACAUUUUACCAGCCCCGUAUGAUAUGGUAUACGUAUAUUCCCAUUAUGUUUCCGUGUGUGUGUAUAUUGUUCAUUUUGACAAAUGUUCAGUUUAAUGUAAAACAAUAUUAAAUUCUUAUCUGUAUUCGAUGUAAACGCGUUUCGAUUAUUUCUUUAUCAAUACAUUGAUGCAAUACAGA